rnacentral:rRNA from 1 species
AACGUAGGAUCCGAGCGUUGUCCGGAAUCACUGGGUGUAAAGGGUGCGUAGGCGGGCUUGCGCGUCAAGGGUUAAAGACCUCGGCUCAACCGGGGGAAUGCCCUUGAUACGGCAGGUCUUGAGUGCGGGAGAGGAUGGUGGAAUUCCUGGUGUAGCGGUGAAAGGCGUAGAGAGCAGGAGGAACACCGAAGGCGAAGGCAGCCAUCUGGACCGCCACUGACGCUGAGGCACGAAAGCGUGGGGAGCAAACAGG